CAGAAUGUGCCACAGAAUGCCAACUCUGUCUGAAAAGGAGCACGAACGAGGCAUCAAUUCAGCUGAAUGAGAUAUUCCUGCACUUUUUCAUGAAGAGCUCUGUGGCCAAUGCCAAGCUGGCAGCUUGGCUGUUAAAGACACGUUGUAGUAGAACUGAAGAAAGUUGAUGCACCAGAUGCCAAGAAUGGGUGUUGUUAACAGUCCAAAACUGGCACAACUUAAUCAUCACUUUUCUGCUGUUGAAGAGGUCUAUACUGUGCUCCCUUAUUAACGCAACAUUCAGCAGUGUGAAGCCUGCAUAAGGUAUGUAUAACUACUACUACUGCUUGAAAAUGAACUCACAACCACAAAAGGAUUGCCAGCAGGUUUGCAUUCUUUGCUGGGUGACUUGACAAUUCAUAAAUGCAAUAUUAAGAUAAAUAAAGAACAAUAUCUGCAAGCUUUGUCUGGUGCACAG
rnacentral:lncRNA from 1 species